rnacentral:misc_RNA from 1 species
CUACCCUAGAGCCAUGCUCUGUGAUGGGCCCCGUCCUCGCGGACGGGCCCGAAACCCGUGGGCGCCGUCGUCCGGCCCUGAGCGUAGCAAGAGAAAUCCCUCGCUCGGAGUGUCUGAUGGUGGUUGCCCUGACCUAUUUUAUAA